CAGUGAGCAUGUAUUUCUGUGUUCUAGGUAACAAUAGAGUUAGCAUGUAUUUCUGUGUUCUAGGUAACAACAGAGUUAGCAUGUAUUUCUGUGUUCUAGGUAACAACAGAGUUAGCAUGUAUUUCUCUGUGUUCUAGGUAACAACAGAGUUAGCAUGUAUUUCUGUGUUCUAGGUAACAAUAGAGUUAGCAUGUAUUUCUGUGUUCUAGGUAACAACAGAGUUAGCAUGUAUUUCUCUGUGUUCUUGCAGAUGUCGCCAAGACAAUGGAGAGAGUAAAGCGUAGGUUUUAGAUUGCUGGGUAAACACCGCCUCUUGCUAUCUACAUAAUAAACUAACAUGAACUAACUCUCUAUUUGCUACACCAGUAGCCUGAUGAAAACUCUUUCCUCUCUAAAGUAAAGUAGUGUUCUAAAGACAACUGUCUCUUUUACUGGUGCCAUAAUGAUAACUGUCUCUCUAGACUAGUGCCCUAAUGAUAAUCUAUCUCUAACUAGUGCCCUAAUGAUAACUGUCUCUUUAACUAGUGCCCUAAUGAUAUCUGUCUCUUUAACUAGUGCCCUAAUGAUAUCUGUCUCUUUAACUAGUGCCCUAAUGAUAUCUGUCUCUUUAACUAGUGCCCUAAUGAUAGCUGUCUCUUUAACUAGUGCCCUAAUGAUAGCUGUCUCUUUAACUAGUGCCCUAAUGAUAGCUGUCUCUUUAACUAGUGCCCUAAUGAUAUCUGUCUCUUUAACUAGUGCCCUAAUGAUAACUGUCUCUUUAACUAGUUCCCUAAUGAUAACUAUAUCUUUAACUAGUGCCCUAAUGAUAACUGUCUCUUUAACUAGUGCCAUAAUGAUAACUGUCGCUUUAACUAGUGCUCUAAUGAUAACUAUCUCUUUAACUAGUGCCCUAAUGAUAACUGUCGCUUUAACUAGUUCCCUAAUGAUAACUGUCUCUUUAACUAGUGCCCUAAUGGUAACUGUCUCUCUAGACUAGUGCCCUAAUGAUAACCUCUCUCUAGACUAGUGCCCC
ensembl:lncRNA